rnacentral:lncRNA from 1 species
GCGCUUGGUGCCCCAUGCGGCGUGGGGCGGGGCCUGAGGGAGCGGGGAUGGUCCCGGGAGCCCGGCCUCGUGCGCCGCGCUUUGAGGUGAGCCUCUCUGAGAAAUUUGUGAGGAGGGUCCAGCCGCGGGUCGGAAGGAAGGACGUGGGGAGCGAGGCUCGAGCGAGCGACAGCGAGUGCGAAGGCCGGCGUCCCUGGGAAGCUGAGCGCCGCGUAGCUUCGCCGGGGGGAGUGGGGUAGGCGCGGUGAGGCCGUGGGCCCCCACACCUGGCGGACCACAGGGGCCAGAAGCCCUGGAGCCCCGCCAGGGAAGGGCUGCGUCGCUGGCCAGGACCGAGCGCGGUAGAGCCUCAGCUGCUCACGGGGUCGCUGGAGUUGGGGGUGGCCCCAGGAGAAAUUAAAGGUGAAAAGCCUUAGCAGCAGAGGGAAGAGGAAGAUGGAGGCAGAGCGAGUGACCGAACUUGGAAGGGACAGCCGGGCGCAACAGGGCAGGGGGCGUCUGACUGUUGGAAACAUGGCUGACGUCUGGAGGCUGCAGCCAGUGGUCCGUAAGUCAGGUCAAGGACCCACAGAAGACCCCAGCAUGUCUUCACCUGGCCCACAGAAGCCCUGACAUCCAGUUACAACUGCCCCAGCCUAGUGAGCAUUUCGGCACCCACUCCUCAAUUCCUACCCCCAGCCUAACUUCGAAGGGGCGGUGAGCCACAGCAAGCCGGAGGAGAAAGUUGGAAGAGAGAGUGGACAAAAGAAUACCCACAGGCACCUUCCCCACAGUGGAAUAGCGGGGUUUUAGACAAUCAAGGAUAAUCACCUCUUCCUAUCCCAGUUCAGAAACGGAUGAAAAAGACACAGCAAUAAGAUGGGUGGGUAUCAAAAUAUCAGCUUUGCCACAAAUUAAAAACCUAGCUUGAAGGACAAGGCUUAAAUCUGCAAGCAAGAGGGCAAGCUACUAAAUCACCCGUUAAGUCAGACAAACAUAUCCCCCAGCCUCUAGGCCAUGAAACUGCCUCACCAAGCACUAUGCAAUUGAGUGCCCACCAGAAGACACCCCUCCAGUCAACCCACAGACCCCAGAAAGAGUACCCAGAGGAGCCUGAGCACACUCCACCCUAUCUGUUCUCUGAAAUUCAAUCAAAUGAGUCACUCUACUUCUCUGGAAGCAGAAAGAGGCUGGAAGUUUUUCUCCAGGACCCACCUCUCAAGAUUCCUGCCCUACAUGCCAUUCUUAAAAGAAAAUGUGACCAGAUCACUUCUCUGCCUAAUCUUCAACAACGGGUUCUCACAGCUCUCAGAAGAAGGUGACAAGAAUCUCUGACCUCACCCUGCUGGCCUGUUCCCCUCACCUGGCCACACAACCAAGCUGGUACCUCCACGCUUUCAUCAUGUCCUCUCAAGUACACUGUCUCCAGCUACACCCCUGCACUCCUCUCCGGGAAUUCUGUUUCUCCUCUACCCAACCAGACCCUGUUCCAUCCUCUGUUUUUUCCUUGCUACCAAUUCAGGCCCACGCCUCAUGCACAUUCUCUGAGAAUUAUGUACAUAAGUACCUGACUCUCCUGGAUGUAAGCUGGGUGGGCUUAGCAGGCAGAGGCCCUGUGUCUUACUUUAUCUCUGCAUCACUGAUGUCUGGCACAUCAAGGACUGCAAGUUUGCUGAGAGAAUGAAUCGCCUUUUAUACAUGGAAAUGUAAGCUCUAAACUGCCUCAGAGCAUAUGCUGGUGGGUGACAAUCUGAGGAGGUCAUGAAUAUAGGAGAAUAUUGAAGAGGUCACACAGGGGAAACAACUUUUCAUUAUGAAAAACUGGGAGACUGACAUUUAAAUGGUUUAUCUGCAUGAUUAAAUUAAUCACAUUUCCAACAGUGCAUCAAGCAUCUGAGAAUAACAUUAUUUUGAGUAAAAACAGAAACUCUUCGGGAGAGACCCCCUCCCCACAGGUCAGGCUGCUCAAAUGUCCACCAUGUCUAGCAGCGCAGAGAGAUGGAGCUCAGAGGCAACUUCCUCUUCCCUUGAACUCCGGAUCAGCCUUUCCAGGUGCUUUAGUCGUUCGCCUAGACACGUUCCUGUCGCCUCUGACAGCUGCAGUUGCUCCCUCAUCAUGUCACUCUAUUUGAAUAAAAAAGAAACUGAACAGACUUCCUAAAGCCAGUCCAGGAGCACAGUUUUUACCUGUUCAGUGGCACAUAUCUGUGAUUGAAACUCUGUUUUUGCAUCUUUAACCACUGAAGGAAGAAUGGAGCAGACUGCUCGACAAACACUGCGCCAAGAGCUCCUCAGCAGAAGCUCCUCGCAUCAGAUCCUCUGUGCUGGGAAUCCUCCCCUCUUGAGCACACUCUGUGCUCCUCUUCCAGUUACGGUGCAUGUGAAGCAAUGGUAUGGGAAAAUUGUUUGCAGAAGGAUGAAAAGGCUUUAUUGCCAAACUGUAAGUACAUGAUUUGAAAUGUUUAUGGUCAAGAGAAAAUAUUUCUACAGCAUCAUGUAAAGCAUGUAGAUACAUUUGCACAUGUGCAUUAACAUGUAAGAACAUGUGCCUCAGACACAUGUGCCCUCCUGGAACAGCUCAUGCUGGCCCCAUGCCUGCUUCCAAGCUUCCAUCAAGUCAGGGAGUGGAGCAAAGAGGGAAGGCAGCCCCUGCACUGUAGGGACCCUUAUGCACAGAGGCAUUGAGACUGCCUGUUCCUCUUGGAAGCUUCUGCUCUCAAGAGGCAGCUAGGUUUUUGGAGCUUCUCUGCUUCAUGUCUUGCUUCCCACCCUAGGGUUCCAGAUUCUGUUCUUCCCUAGUAUUGGCAAGGUUUUUUAUAGAUAGCUCUUGGAUACAUUUGGAAGUAAUGUUUACAAAUGGUGAGAGAGAAGGCAUCUGACAUUUUUUUCUAAACACAUGCCAAUGUUUGUCUUUUCCCCACUAAUUUCAAUAAUUUGGCCUAACACUUUUGUCACAUAUUCUGACUCUUUAUUCUGAUCCAUUUAUCUACUCUGGCAUCCCCACAUGGUUUUAAGUACUGGAGCUUUACUGUAUGUCUUGGUAUCAGGCCAAGCAAACCAUGUUAGUCUUAUUUAAAACUUUCUCAGCAAUUGAUGCAUAUUUGUUUAUCCUGAUGAAUUUUAGAACUUACCAGUACUGACAUCUUCACAGCAUUGUAUCCUGUCAACAACCUAGUCUGAACCUCAAUGGUUCAGGUUUCCUUUGCACAUACAGGCCCUGAGAACUCAUAUGUUAAUGAGAAAGACAUUCCGGGAAACCAGGAGGUGAGGAGACCAAGGAUUAGGCUCCACUCCUAUUAUGAAGAUGAACAGUUUUUAGAGUAUCAUGGAGUUGGAGAAGGUACUUCAAGGAUCUCUAUGGGGAACAAGAAGGAACAGCAAAGUUCCACCAUCCUGUGCCCUUUCUGUUCAGGUUUAUUGUUGUGAAUGAGAAUUUUUUUUUUUUUAACAUGUUGUGGAUCUAUCUAUCUGAUCACCUUAUUGAACUGAGAAUGGUUCUAUGGACUUGACUUUUCUUGGACUGACAACUGUACUGUCUGGAAAUGACAGUUUCUCCUUCCUUUCAGUAUUUGUGCCUGUCUAUCCCACAUCCCUGUACUGGUCAGGAUUUCCAGGACAAUAGUGAAUAAUAGUCGGGACAACAGGCUGGUUCUGAUUCCACUGUUCCUAACAUUCUACCAAGAAGCAUGUUUUUUUUCUAUUUUGGUAGUUUUAUGUUAGGUAGCCUUAUCAAGUUAGGACUUUUUUUUUUUUUAACCCAAGCUAAAGAAAGUACCCAAAAUAAAGAAAUUUUAUCAGGAACAGGUAUAAAUUUUAAGAAACGUAUUUCAACGCCUGCUAAAAUUACCACUUAUUUUUCUAUUAUGGCAACAAAUUACAUUAAUAGAUUUUCACUGUUAUUGUUUAUCCUGGGAGAAAGCAUACUUGUGAACUUUUUUAGGUACUGUGCUUUGGAACCAAAUUUGGAAGUGAGAUGAAAUGUCAGCUGUACUCUCCUGGUUAGGUAUGAUUUCAGGGUCAGGUAUGCCUGAUAAAUGAAGUGAGAUGCUUUAACUUUGUUCUAGAAUAGUUUCUACUGCAUGGGAAUGAUCUGUUCCUUGAGGAUUUGUCACAGUCUGCCCACAGUGGACUGGAUUUGGCAUGUAGGAUGUUAAUUUCUAUUUACUUUGCAAGAAAAAUACAGUUUAGCAAGCAACAGAAACAUACUGAACAUGAACCUCACCGUCCCUCUCUCAGCUGUAGCUCCUUCUGCGUCUGCAACCUGGCUUGUUCCCACGACAAAGGAACAUCAUAUUUUUUCAAAUCGUUUUUAAAAAAAUACACACAUAUCUGACCAUCUUCACUCAGCGCCUCUGAGAAAACAAUACAAAAACAGAUAAAGAGGCCAGCCUGGCCAACCCUGUCUCAAAAAAAAAAAAAACUUAAGGUAUUUUGUUAAUAAAAUCAUUUUCAUAAUGGAAAAGACUCAGAAAAUUCCCCUCGCAUGACAUAUAACAUCCAACAAGGGGCUGAACCAAGAAAAAAUACUGCAGCUGCUGCUAAUGGCAACACUGAGCAAGCACCUGGCCUGUGCCAGGCACUGUCCUGUGCAGUCUGUGUUUGCACUCAUUUUAUCCUCAAGAGCCAGAUGAGCAUCUCCACCAGACAGCACCUGCAGAGGCUUGGGCAGUUUAUUUUACCGUCUCUGAGUAAAAUAGGGAUAAUAAGUAACAGUACCCAUACACAGGUGGCAGAGACGCUAGGGAACUUGCCCAAGGUCACAGAGCUUCCAAGUGGAGGAGCAGGGACACAUAUGCUCACAAUGAUGGCACUAAGGCACAUGUUGCCUGGAUGGAGACCAGCCCACAGAUGAGAGUUCCAGGACAGAGGGAACAUGGAUGGAUCAAGUGAAGUGACAGAACAUUUGGAAAACUCUACCGAGAUAUAUACGGCCCCCCAGUAAAAUUAAAGAGAUAAAGAGAACUACAUUAAGUGAGACAAUAAGGCAACUCUAUUUCUUGCAGGAAAAAAAUAAUUGUGGUUAUAGAACACUACUGGUUCUGAGGUGAAUAGCAGUCACAGAGCCAUCAAAAUAUGACCCCACUCACUGAAGUAAUACAAAGUGCUAGUGUAGCUAUCCCGGGAAGACGUGGAAGGCCGAGCAAGGACCAUGGCACAAGAGGCCACGCUGUACCUAGUAUGGUAUGCAGUGGCCAAGAGGACCCCCCUGAUUCCACCUAGUGUUCAUGCCCACGUGUGAUCUCCUGCCCCGUGAGCUGGGCCUAGCCACUCACUUCUGACAGACAGAAGCCAACAAAAGCAACAGGAUGUCACUUCUAAGUUUAGGUUAUAAACACACUCAGACUUCCAUCUAGGCUCACCUCUUGCUCACUCUGAUGAAAGCCAGCUGCCAUGCUGUCAGCUGGGGAGAGGCCCAUGUGGCAGGAACUGAGGAAGUCUUUGGCCACAGCCUGCAAGGAAGUGAAUCCUGACACAAGCUCACUAGAGUGAGCUGGGAAGUAGAUACCCUUCAGUCAAGCUUUCAGAUGAGGCCACAAUCCUAGCCAACAUUUUCAUUUCCACCCAUGAGAAACCUUGAGCCAGAAGACCCAAGCUAAGCUACACCUGGAUUCCUGACCCACAGAUACCAUGAUAACAGACAUUAUUUUAAGCUGCUAUGUUAGGAGUAAUUAGUUAUUUAGGAAUAAGGUAACUAAUACAUUUAUAUUAAUGGGAAGUCAGCAGAGAACAUUUAAAUGGAUAAACUGAGAAAUGGCUGUGUAAGUGUGUGAUCUGGAAACAGGAGAAAAAUGCAGCCCUGAAGAAAGGAGUUAAGAGAGGAAGGAGGAGCUACUAUGUCUCAUUUUAAAUCACGUGGGUGGCAUUAUUUGACUUCUUUUUAAGUACACGGAAGUGUUACUUUCUUAAAUGAAAAUGAAGGUAACAGCAGCAGUAAACUAAUUUCCAGUAGAUGAAAUGUGACUUUGUAAUCCCAGGAAAAGGGAAGAAUUUGCACCAAGAAGUUACUGUUACCUCAGAAUGGCAAGAGCAUGGAUGGCUCUUAUCAUCAUCUUUAUACUUCUUUUACAUUUCCUCAUUUUUUAAAAGUUUUGUGUACAUAUUACAUUUAGGAAAUCCAAUAUAUAGUAUUAAAACAGAAAAAGUAAAGAAGCAGGCUGGGCUUGGUGCCCACUACUCAAUUUGACUGGCUUAAAAAAAUUUUUUAAACGACAUGUACGGACAGACAUAAUACUUGCUUCUGAGCCUCCCAGUCUUUCAAAACCACAUUAGGGAAUAAGCAGUAUUUGCAUGGUUCCAGUGAUAUCUGGGAGUAAGUGAAAGUAAUGAAAACACAGAAGUAAACACAAAGUAAUUAUAGUUCACCUUUAUACACACGUUAACAGAAAUCAUCUGAUCCCCUUUGCUGCUAAGUGAGUUGAAAAGCGAAAGCGUCUGAAUCCCACCAGCAUCGCUGGAUGUGUCAUCCACUGAGCCUUCAUCUCCCAUGAACUUGACUUUUAACCAAUUUGCUAGAAUUCUACAGAUUUAAAAAAAACA